AUUGAACGCUGGCGGCAUGCCUAACACAUGCAAGUCGAACGGGGCAGCAAUGCCUAGUGGCGGACGGGUGAGGAAUACGUAGGAAUCUGCCCUUAAGUGGGGGUUAACCAGGGGAAACCCUGACUAAUACCGCAUGAUCUCUUCGGAGCAAAGCGGGGGACCGCAAGGCCUCUCGCUUCUGUAUGAGCCUACGUCUGAGUAGCUAGUUGGUAGGGUAAAGGCCUACAAAGGCGACGAUCAGUAAGUGGUCUGAGAGGAUGAUUAGUCACACCGGAACUGAGACACGGUACGGACUCCUACGGGAGGCAGCAGUGGGGAAUAUUGGACAAUGGGCGCGAGCCUGAUCCAGCAAGGCCGCGUGUGUGAAGAAGGCCUUCGGGUUGUAAAGCCCUUUAGCCUGGAAAGAAAAAACUUUGGUUAACACCCAAAGUCUUGGCGGUACCAGGAGAAUAAGCACCGGCUAACUCUGUGCCAGCCGCCGCCGUAACAC
rnacentral:rRNA from 1 species